rnacentral:misc_RNA from 1 species
GAUGAAGAACGCAGCGAAAUGCGAUAAGUAAUGUGAAUUGCAGAAUCCCGUGAACCAUCGAGUCUUUGAACGCAAGUUGCGCCCGAAGCCAUUAGGCCGAGGGCACGCCUGCCUGGGCGUCACACGUCGUUGCCCCCCCAUCUACUCCUUCGGGAUUGCGGGGGGCGGAUGAUGGCCUCCCGUGCGCCUCGCCGCGCGGUUGGCAUAAAUGCCAAGUCCUCGGCGACGCACGCCACGACAAUCGGUGGUUGCGAAACCUCGGUUGCCCGUCGUGUGCGGUCGUCGCGCAUCGAGGGCUCGAAAAAAUUGCCGGGUUCCGGCUCGGCUUUCAACGCGACCCCAGGUCAGGCGGGGUUACCCGCUGAAUUUAAGCAUAUCAAUAAGCGGAGGA